GUCAGAAUCAGAUUUGUUGAGACGAGAAAUGGGUGAUUAUUGCACAUCCUACAGCCCACCGGGUUAGCUCUAGAUUUUCAGCUGUCACAGAGCUGUGACUUUUCCCACCUUGUCAAGCAGUAACCUCCUGGACAUCUUUGUAUGCUCAGAAUAGAAGAAAUAAACCUGCCACUCUGCUAGAAAACAAGGGAGGAAAGAAACUAGGCAUUGUCUCAUCUUUGGUAUUUCAGGCAAUAUAGGUUUCCGAUCUCAGUUCUAAAAGAGAAGAUGUACACGAGCAAGUCUUCAGUGCCUCUACUCCUAUAGCUUCUGUGACCUAUUUAGCUCUAAGGGAGGGCAAGUCACUGUAUGCCCAGAGAUGAAGUUGAGAGGACACAACUGAAAUGGCUGCAGCAUGUAGAAGAAGAAUCAAAAUGAAGGUCAAGGAAGAAAAGAUCAGUGUAAUUAUCCAGAAAAUUUUCCUGGAAGCUGAGUUGCCCUUUUUUGACUGCAGAAUCCUACAUAAAGUAUUUUAUCCUCAAACAAAAAAUGUGUUCAAGCAAUAAUCAAG
rnacentral:lncRNA from 1 species